ACUCAAAUGAAUUGACGGGGGCUCACACAAGCGGUGGAGCAUGUGGCCUAAUUCGAAGCAACGCGAAGAACCUUAUCCUGGACUUGACAUGGUGGAAGUAGGAAACUGAAAAGCGUACGACCGGUAUCCAAUCCGGAACCAUCACAGGUGCUGCAUGGCUGUCGUCAGCUCGUGCUGUGAAGUGUCGGGUUAAGUCCCAUAACGAGCGAAACCCUUAUCGUUAGUUGCUAACAGGUCAAGCUGAGCACUCUAACGAGACUGCCGGUGUUAAACCGGAGGAAGGCGGGGAUGACGUCAAGUCCUCAUGGCCUUUAUGUCCAGGGCUGCACACGUGCUACAAUGCCGAUGACAAACCGAAGCAAGACCGUAAGGUGGAGCAAAUCGGAAAAAAAUCGGCCCAGUUCAGAUUGAGGGCUGCAACUCGCCCUCAUGAAGUUGGAAUCGCUAGUAAUCGCGAAUCAGCUAUGUCGCGGUGAAUGUGUUCCUGAGCCUUGUACACACCGCCCGU
rnacentral:rRNA from 1 species